rnacentral:rRNA from 1 species
GACGAACGCUGGCGGCGUGCUUAACACAUGCAAGUCGAACGGAAAGGCCCUGCUUGCAGGGUACUCGAGUGGCGAACGGGUGAGUAACACGUGGGUGAUCUGCCCUGCACUUCGGGAUAAGCUUGGGAAACUGGGUCUAAUACCGGAUAGGAGCCAUCUUUAGUGUGGUGGUUGGAAAGUUUUUUCGGUGUAGGAUGAGCUCGCGGCCUAUCAGCUUGUUGGUGGGGUAAUGGCCUACCAAGGCGGCGACGGGUAGCCGGCCUGAGAGGGUGUACGGCCACAUUGGGACUGGGAUACGGCCCAGACUCCUACGGGAGGCAGCAGUGGGGAAUAUUGCACAAUGGGCGCAAGCCUGAUGCAGCGACGCCGCGUGGGGGAUAAAGGCCUUCGGGUUGUAAGCUCCUUUCGCUAGGGACGAAGCUUUUUUGUGACGGUACCUAGAUAAGAAGCACCGGCUAACUACGUG